GUCCUCAUCGUCUAGAGGCCUAGGACACCGCCCUUUCACGGCGGUAACCGGAGUUCGAAUCUCCGUGGGGACG
rnacentral:tRNA from 1 species